rnacentral:rRNA from 1 species
AGUGAACGCUGGCGGUAGGCCUAACACAUACAAGUCGAACGGCAGCACAGUAAGAGCUUGCUCUUACGGGUGGCGAGUGGCGGACGGGUGAGGAAUACAUCGGAAUCUACUUUUUCGUGGGGGAUAACGUAGGGAAACUUACGCUAAUACCGCAUACGACCUACGGGUGAAAGCAGGGGAUCUUCGGACCUUGCGCGAUUGAAUGAGCCGAUGUCGGAUUAGCUAGUUGGCGGGGUAAAGGCCCACCAAGGCGACGAGCCGUAGCUGGUCUGAGAGGAUGAUCAGCCACACUGGAACUGAGACACGGUCCAGACUCCUACGGGAGGCAGCAGUGGGGAAUAUUGGACAAUGGGCGCAAGCCUGAUCCAGCCAUACCGCGUGGGUGAAGAAGGCCUUCGGGUUGUAAAGCCCUUUUGUUGGGAAAGAAAAGCAGCAGGUUAAUACCCCGCUGUUCUGACGGUACCCAAAGAAUAAGCACCGGCUAACUUCGUG